UUUAUGGAGAGUUUGAUCCUGGCUCAGGAUGAACGCUGGCGGCGUGCCUAAUACAUGCAAGUCGAGCGAACGGACGAGAAGCUUGCUUCUCUGAUGUUAGCGGCGGACGGGUGAGUAACACGUGGAUAACCUACCUAUAAGACUGGGAUAACUUCGGGAAACCGGAGCUAAUACCGGAUAAUAUUUUGAACCGCAUGGUUCAAAAGUGAAAGACGGUCUUGCUGUCACUUAUAGAUGGAUCCGCGCUGCAUUAGCUAGUUGGUAAGGUAACGGCUUACCAAGGCAACGAUGCAUAGCCGACCUGAGAGGGUGAUCGGCCACACUGGAACUGAGACACGGUCCAGACUCCUACGGGAGGCAGCAGUAGGGAAUCUUCCGCAAUGGGCGAAAGCCUGACGGAGCAACGCCGCGUGAGUGAUGAAGGUCUUCGGAUCGUAAAACUCUGUUAUUAGGGAAGAACAUAUGUGUAAGUAACUGUGCACAUCUUGACGGUACCUAAUCAGAAAGCCACGGCUAACUACGUGCCAGCAGCCGCGGUAAUACGUAGGUGGCAAGCGUUAUCCGGAAUUAUUGGGCGUAAAGCGCGCGUAGGCGGUUUUUUAAGUCUGAUGUGAAAGCCCACGGCUCAACCGUGGAGGGUCAUUGGAAACUGGAAAACUUGAGUGCAGAAGAGGAAAGUGGAAUUCCAUGUGUAGCGGUGAAAUGCGCAGAGAUAUGGAGGAACACCAGUGGCGAAGGCGACUUUCUGGUCUGUAACUGACGCUGAUGUGCGAAAGCGUGGGGAUCAAACAGGAUUAGAUACCCUGGUAGUCCACGCCGUAAACGAUGAGUGCUAAGUGUUAGGGGGUUUCCGCCCCUUAGUGCUGCAGCUAACGCAUUAAGCACUCCGCCUGGGGAGUACGACCGCAAGGUUGAAACUCAAAGGAAUUGACGGGGACCCGCACAAGCGGUGGAGCAUGUGGUUUAAUUCGAAGCAACGCGAAGAACCUUACCAAAUCUUGACAUCCUUUGACAACUCUAGAGAUAGAGCCUUCCCCUUCGGGGGACAAAGUGACAGGUGGUGCAUGGUUGUCGUCAGCUCGUGUCGUGAGAUGUUGGGUUAAGUCCCGCAACGAGCGCAACCCUUAAGCUUAGUUGCCAUCAUUAAGUUGGGCACUCUAAGUUGACUGCCGGUGACAAACCGGAGGAAGGUGGGGAUGACGUCAAAUCAUCAUGCCCCUUAUGAUUUGGGCUACACA
rnacentral:rRNA from 1 species